rnacentral:rRNA from 1 species
GACGAACGCUGGCGGCGUGCCUAAUACAUGCAAGUCGAGCGGACGAAUCGAAAGCUUGCUUUUGAUUCGUUAGCGGCGGACGGGUGAGUAACACGUGGGCAACCUGCCCUGUAGACGGGGAUAACACCGAGAAAUCGGUGCUAAUACCGGAUAACACGAAAUGUCGCAUGACGUUUCGUUGAAAGACGGCGCAAGCUGCCGCUACAGGGUGGGCCCGCGGCGCAUUAGCUAGUUGGUGAGGUAACGGCUCACCAAGGCGACGAUACGUAGCCGACCUGAGAGGGUGAUCGGCCACACUGGGACUGAGACACGGCCCAGACUCCUACGGGAGGCAGCAGUAGGGAAUCUUCCGCAAUGGACGAAAGUCUGACGGAGCAACGCCGCGUGAGCGAAGAAGGCCUUCGGGUCGUAAAGCUCUGUUGUUAGGGAAGAACAAGUAACGCAGUAACUGGCGUUACCGUGACGGUACCUAACGAGAAAGCCACGGCUAACUACGUG